GAUGAACGCUGGCGGCGUGCCUAAUACAUGCAAGUCGAGCGAACAGACGAGGAGCUUGCUCCUCUGACGUUAGCGGCGGACGGGUGAGUAACACGUGGAUAACCUACCUAUAAGACUGGGAUAACUUCGGGAAACCGGAGCUAAUACCGGAUAAUAUAUUGAACCGCAUGGUUCAAUAGUGAAAGACGGUUUUGCUGUCACUUAUAGAUGGAUCCGCGCCGCAUUAGCUAGUUGGUAAGGUAACGGGUUACCAAGGCAACGAUGCGUAGCCGACCUGAGAGAGUGGUCGGCCACACUGGAACUGAGACACGGUCCAGACUCCUACGGGAGGCAGCAGUAGGGAAUCUUCCGCAAUGGGCGAAAGCCUGACGGAGCAACGCCGCGUGAGUGAUGAAGGUCUUCGGAUCGUAAAACUCUGUUAUUAGGGAAGAACAAAUGUGUAAGUAACUAUGCACGUCUUGACGGUACCUAAUCAGAAAGCCACGGCUAACUACGUG
rnacentral:rRNA from 1 species